rnacentral:rRNA from 1 species
AGCGUAGACGGCACGGCAAGCCAGAUGUGAAAGCCCGGGGCUCAACCCCGGGACUGCAUUUGGAACUGCUGAGCUAGAGUGUCGGAGAGGCAAGUGGAAUUCCUAGUGUAGCGGUGAAAUGCGUAGAUAUUAGGAGGAACACCAGUGGCGAAGGCGGCUUGCUGGACGAUGACUGACGUUGAGGCUCGAAGGCUGGGAGCAAACA